AUUGAACGCUGGCGGCAGGCCUAACACAUGCAAGUCGAGCGCGCGGCGGACGGGUGAGUAAUGUAUGGGGACUGCCCGCUAGAGGGGGAUAACUCCUGGAAACGGUGGCUAAUAACGCAUAAUGUAGGAUAACCCAUAUGGGAUUAGCUAGUAGGUAAGGUAAUGGCUUACCUAGGCGACGAUCCCUAGCUGGUCUUAGAGGAUGAUCAGCCACAGUGGGACUGAGACACGGCCCAGAAUCCUACGGAGGCAGCAGUGGGGAAUAUUGCACAAUGGGCGCAAGCCUGAUGCAGCCAUGCCGCGUGUAUGAAGAAGGCCUUAGGGUUGUAAAGUACUUUCAGUCGGGAGGCGUUACCGACAGAAGAAGCACCGGCUAACUCCGUGCCAGCAGCCGCGGUAAUAC
rnacentral:rRNA from 1 species